GACAAUGCUGUACUAGCUCCAGGAAACAUGACUUCCAGCAUGUCAGAGUGCAAGGGUGUGGCCCGGUGCUCUGGGACUGUGAGCCAAUCCCCUGAGCAUAUGUAGAGGGCAUCACACCUCACCUCUCAGGGCCACUAUGUCUGUUGGCCAUUAAGCCAUUUCAAACAGCUACCACAACUAAAGAGUCUUGGGCUCUGCACCUAAAUUGUUGCUUCCCACCCCUACAGUGACUCUUCUUUUACCCAAUCCUCUUUCACUUAUUAGUAUAUAACUACUUUGAACAAAUUCCUCCCUCUUCAUCUAUUUGGUUCUUCUCUUGGGCAUGUAAUCCAGGAAGAACAGGAGCCCCAACAAAUGGGGCUGGGCAAACUGAAGGAGUUGUCCAGCCUAGGGGCUGUGGUCCUUUGGGGCUGCACCUCCCGAUGUGAGUUGUCUGUGUUCCACUCUCCCCAUAACUUCACAGGAAAAGGGAGCACCCACUUUCCAUUAAGAUGGGAACCACUGUAGACACUUCAGAGAUCCCAGAAGCUUCUCUACAAAUCCCUUGCCUGGUUGAAAGGGUUGUGGAGGCAAUGCUUCUUCCCAGGAUCUCCUCCUCCUUUCUGCUUAUCUGGCUACCAAGGUUACUACUCACCUUUCUGGUCUCAAGGUCGCUCUCAGAAGUAUCCGAGCAUGGCUUGGUCACCUUUUUCAUUUUAACCCCAUUGGCAUUCUUGUUCAUGUUCUUAUUAGCAUUCUUCCCCCGGGCUUCUUUGACAACAGAGGACCUCUUCUCCCUGAGCUGGCGGAGCUCCUCCUGGCAGCACUGCAGCUGCCCCUCCAGCUGCUCCUGCACUACCAGAAGCCGCCCCUGCUCAUCCAUGCUAGCCUGGUAUUGCAGCUGCAGCUCCCGCAGCUUGGUCUGCAGUUCUUUGAUCUGUUGGUAGUGGAGGGCCAGUUACCCAGAGUUGGCUGGUUAUGCAACCGGUUGGCUGACCACGCAACCAAACUCAGCCCUGCUUGGGGGUCACUGUCUCAGAAAUCUCCCUGUUAAAGCCCGUAGGAAGUAGACAAUAAAGAAAAUAUUCAACUGUGGAAAAUGAGCCUCUCAAAUAGUUUUACAAAUAGCUUCUCCUAACUUGAGGCACCUGAUGAUGUCCAUCUAAUAAGAUGAAAAAAACGGCAGGGCGCAGCGGCUCACUUGCCAUCCAGUGUAAUCCCAGCACUUUAGGAGGCUGAGAAUUCUUUUUAUGGGAACUCCUACUUCAUCCAACCCAUCUCUCUAACAGGAACAAUUACUUAAAGAACUGUGUUGUAUACUCCUGAAGUGUGUACUGGGCUCCUGCACCUCACCCUGGAAACAGAGGCAAGUCACAUCCUGCUCCCUGAUCUCGGGUUUUGUCUUCCUUGGCUGAUGGCAGUACACAACCAUCCCCUCAGUAGGUACCAAUACUAGCCAAUCUGGACCCAUGUGUUCGCUGCUCUCUGAAUCUCUCCCGUGUGUAUACAAAGAGACCCCCACUGGACCGUGAACCCCUGGCCAGAGACAAGACUUCUGUCCCAUUCCUAGGGGGUGCAGAGCACUCUUCUUGGCAUUGUGAGAGAUCCAAAAGGAGACAUGUCCCUGUCCUUGAGCUGCUUACAAUCUAGUUGGUGCUCCUAGUUGGUGCACCGGGAGACAAGGCAAAUGCACACAAAAUGAUGAAAGAAGAUUGGCAAAUGCAAAAAUACAGUUCUACAGAAGUGGUCUAGAACACAAAGCAAAAGAGAACAGAAGUGGCAAAGGGAGAAAGAGAGAAAUCAUUCGAUGAGAGAAGUCCUGAUGACUAGUAAACCCCAGCUCCACGGGCACUUGGGAAAUGUCAUCAGGGAUGGAGCAGACUGCCCAGCCUCUGAGGUGCAUACUCUCCCUGCUUUGUCCCUCUCUUUAGCCUCUAUGAAGUGGCCAUGACCUCUAUGGCUCCAGGGGCUGCCAGAGGAAACCCUGCCUCCCUGACAGUGGUUACCUCAUUCUUGUCGUUCUGGGGGGCCACGGGCUUUUCAAGGCAUUCCAUGCACUCCUUGAACUCCCUUUCACAGGCAUCCAGCUCUUCCUUCAGGUCUUUCUGCUUGGCCAGUAACUUUUCCAUCUGCUCUUGCAGCUGGCUGUGUUCCUCCUGGCUUAUCUGGU
rnacentral:lncRNA from 1 species